rnacentral:rRNA from 1 species
GUAUAGUUAAGUGACUAAGCGUACACGGUGGAUGCCUAGGCAAUCAGAGGCGAAGAAGGACGUGCUAAUCUGCGAAAAGCUUGGAUGAGUUGAUAAGAAGCGUUUAAUCCAAGAUAUCCGAAUGGGGAAACCCAGUAGAUGAAGAAUCUACUAUCAUUAACUGAAUCCAUAGGUUAAUGAGGCGAACCGGGAGAACUGAAACAUCUAAGUACCCCGAGGAAAAGAAAUCAACCGAGAUUCUGUGAGUAGCGGCGAGCGAAAGCGGAGGAGCCUGUUAGUAAUAGCGACAAAGACAGAGGAAUGAGCUGGGAAGCUCAGCGAGACAGGGUGAUAGCCCCGUACUUGAAGUGUUUGUUGUGGUACUGAGCUAACGAUAAGUAAGGCGGGACACGAGAAAUCCUGUUUGAAGAUGGGGGGACCAUCCUCCAAGGCUAAAUACUCCUGAUUGACCGAUAGUGAACCAGUACUGUGAAGGAAAGGCGAAAAGAACCCCGGUGAGGGGAGUGAAAUAGAACCUGAAACCGUGUACGUACAAGCAGUGGGAGCCUGAAAGGGUGACUGCGUACCUUUUGUAUAAUGGGUCAGCGACUUAUAUUUUGUAGCGAGGUUAACUGAAUAAGGGAGCCGAAGGGAAACCGAGUCUUAACUGGGCGUUGAGUUGCAAGGUAUAGACCCGAAACCCGGUGAUCUAGCCAUGGGCAGGUUGAAGGUUGGGUAACACUAACUGGAGGACCGAACCGACUAAUGUUGAAAAAUUAGCGGAUGACUUGUGGGCUGGGGGUGAAAGGCCAAUCAAACCGGGAGAUAGCUGGUUCUCCCCGAAAUCUAUUUAGGUAGAGCCUUGAGCGGACACCUUCGGGGGUAGAGCACUGUUUCGGCUAGGGGUCCAUCCCGGAUUACCAACCCGAUGCAAACUGCGAAUACCGAAGAGUGAUACUCAGGAGACACACGGCGGGUGCUAACGUUCGUCGUGGAGAGGGAAACAACCCAGACCGCCAGCUAAGGUCCCAAAGUCUAUAUUAAGUGGGAAACGAAGUGGGAAGGCUUAGACAGCUAGGAUGUUGGCUUAGAAGCAGCCAUCAUUUAAAGAAAGCGUAAUAGCUCACUAGUCGAGUCGGCCUGCGCGGAAGAUGUAACGGGGCUAAAUAUAGCACCGAAGCUGCGGCAUCAGUAGAAAUACUGUUGGGUAGGGGAGCGUUGUGUAAGCGGAUGAAGGUGAAUCGAGAGGUUUGCUGGACGUAUCACAAGUGCGAAUGCUGACAUAAGUAACGAUAAAACGAGUGAAAAACUCGUUCGCCGGAAGACCAAGGGUUCCUGUCCAACGUUAAUCGGGGCAGGGUGAGUCGGCCCCUAAGGCGAGGCUGAAAAGCGUAGUCGAUGGGAAACGGGUUAAUAUUCCCGUACUUGGAUAAACUGCGAUGUGGGGACGGAGAAGGUUAGGUUAUCGACCUGUUGGAUGGUCGUUUAAGGUGGUAGGUGGAAUGUUUAGGCAAAUCCGGACAUUCAUAACACUGAGAGCUGAUGACGAGGUGCUACGGCACUGAAGUAACUGAUACCCUGCUUCCAGGAAAAGCCACUAAGCUUCAGGUUUAUCUAAACCGUACUGAAAACCGACACAGGUGGUCAGGUAGAGAAUACUCAGGCGCUUGAGAGAACUCGGGUGAAGGAACUAGGCAAAAUAGCACCGUAACUUCGGGAGAAGGUGCGCUUACCGUAAUUGUAGUCCCUUGCGGAUGAAGGUGAAGUAAGUCGAAGAUACCAGCUGGCUGCAACUGUUUAUUAAAAACACAGCACUCUGCAAACACGAAAGUGGACGUAUAGGGUGUGAUGCCUGCCCGGUGCUGGAAGGUUAAUUGAUGGUGUUAUCGAAAGAGAAGCUCCUGAUCGAAGCCCCAGUAAACGGCGGCCGUAACUAUAACGGUCCUAAGGUAGCGAAAUUCCUUGUCGGGUAAGUUCCGACCUGCACGAAUGGCAUAAUGAUGGCCAGGCUGUCUCCACCCGAGACUCAGUGAAAUUGAAAUCGCCGUGAAGAUGCGGUGUACCCGCGGCUAGACGGAAAGACCCCGUGAACCUUUACUAUAGCUUGACACUGAACAUUGAAUUUUGAUGUGUAGGAUAGGUGGGAGACUUUGAAGAUGACACGCCAGUGUUGUUGGAGUCGUCCUUGAAAUACCACCCUUUAACGUUUGAUGUUCUAACGAAGGAUGCGAAACGCGUUCUCGGACAGUGUCUGGUGGGUAGUUUGACUGGGGCGGUCUCCUCCCAAAGAGUAACGGAGGAGCACGAAGGUUUGCUAAUGACGGUCGGACAUCGUCAGGUUAGUGCAAUGGUAUAAGCAAGCUUAACUGCGAGACAGACAAGUCGAGCAGGUGCGAAAGCAGGUCAUAGUGAUCCGGUGGUUCUGAAUGGAAGGGCCAUCGCUCAACGGAUAAAAGGUACUCCGGGGAUAACAGGCUGAUACCGCCCAAGAGUUCAUAUCGACGGCGGUGUUUGGCACCUCGAUGUCGGCUCAUCACAUCCUGGGGCUGAAGUAGGUCCCAAGGGUAUGGCUGUUCGCCAUUUAAAGUGGUACGCGAGCUGGGUUUAGAACGUCGUGAGACAGUUCGGUCCCUAUCUGCCGUGGGCGUUGGAUGAUUGAGAGGGGCUGCUCCUAGUACGAGAGGACCGGAGUGGACGCAUCACUGGUGUUCCAGUUGUCUCGCCAGAGGCAUUGCUGGGUAGCUAAAUGCGGAAGAGAUAAGUGCUGAAAGCAUCUAAGCACGAAACUUGCCUCAAGAUGAGUCAUCCCUGACUUAGAGUCAGUAAGGGUUGUUGUAGACUACGACGUAGAUAGGCUGGAUGUGUAAGUGUAGUGAUACAUUGAGCUAACCAGUACUAAUUGCCCGAGAGGCUUAACU